GAAUAGAGUAGUGUCUCUAGAUGGGUUCUUAGCAUGAUGGAAUUAUUGGGAGGUGCUCAAAGGGUGGAGGUUUGAGAACCCAGGAAGUUAUUGUUGGCUGCGUGCCCUUGAAAAUGCAUCUUUCAUGACUUCUUCUUGUCCCGUCCCCUUUCUGCUUCCUGUCAAUUUGCCCUCUCCCAUGAUGGUGCAAAUCACGUGAAAUUGUGAGCUGAAGUAUCUUUUCUUGAUUCCAGCAAGAUGACUACAUGGCCUGCAUGUGCAUCCUGCCAGAAGUGAGAUCUGCCAGUCUAUCUGGCUGGUGCAUCUGCUGAGAAUGUGUAGACCU
rnacentral:lncRNA from 1 species